UAUUCCUGUCUUCUCUUCCAUAUGCUAAAGUCAAUCUCUCCUCUUACAACAAAUGCAUAGUAAUUGCGUGCCUUUAUUAAUUGUUAUUUUAUUUUUUUAAGAGAAAUAACAUCGAAAGAUUUUUCUUCAGCCUAAUCUUGCAUUAGUUUGAGAUUUCAAAGCCUACAUUCAAUUUGCAAAUUCGAAGAGCUACUUCGUGAAGAGGCAACACUUGAAAACAUCCCCUGAAGGCCCCAUAUGGCGGCUAGUAGAUUUUCAAACAGUUUGAAGAAGGGAGCAUCUUAGAGAAAUGAGUGGAAGAAUGAAUUAGAAGUGUAAACUAAAUAAUUAAAUGAAGAAGAAAUUUGGUGAGGAAGCAUCCUCCUUUCAAAUUUGUUAUUGGGAUAAGAUUUGUUUCUCCCAGAUUACAACUCUAGUUUUUGUUUGGCAUAUAGAAUAAUAACUUGGAAGCCUUCGCAUCAUGACUAUUACAAGAAAAGAAGUUAGUUGAUGAGCAUCAACUCAACAAAGGAAUGAGAAAGAAAAAAAUGUGAAUUUUUCAGAAAUUUCAACAAUGUCAAUAGUCAAAAGGUACAUGACUAUACAUCGGAAGAGUCUCCUUGUUGUUAGAAGGCAAAAUAGAUUUUUAGUGAGUUGGUAUUUUUUUUUUUUUCUAUUCUACUUCUGUUUUUAGUUUUUAUAAUCUUUUUCUUUUAUCUUAUUGUAAGACUAAAAAUUUUAUAAAUUAGAAUUGUGUUUCUAUGAAUCGUGGUCAUGAAGUUAGAGGUUAGGUGUAUAGAUAGAAGGAUCCUAAGUUGUGGCUUGUACAUUUUUUUUUUCUUU